CCUCCGAGUGACGUCACAAUGCAGGGGACCCGCCCACCCAGGCGGCAGGCCGAGAGGCGCUGGGUCCUAGAGCGCACCUGUCUGUCAGGGAGGGGUCGGAGCUAGACCGAGAACGAAGUCGUGGGUUGGGGGUCGCGGCGGCGAUGCUGCUCCGCCGGCCCGGCCCGCCCCUCCCCGGUUAGGAAACACCUGCGUGGCGAGACCGCGCCUCGAGAGCCAGGGACGCACCAGACGCGUCCCCCGACCUGUGCCUGGGCGAGGGGCCGUGUGGACGCGGUGCGCCGCCACGGAGAGCAGAGGACAGGGUGCCGUCCACGGCCGAGGUACCCCAGGCCCAGGGCGGCAGCCGGGACUUCUGGUCGGGGCGCAGUCUCUCAGACACAUCGUGACCGAAGGACCGAAGGACGUGCUGGACAUGCCGCUCCCUGACUUGCCAAGUGCUUCCCAGCCUCGGCCCAUUCACAGAGCUCUUCCCCGACCGAGGCCCGAGAGCGUUCCACUCCGUCCUGGAGGCUGGGGUGGAGUGACAGGCUCCCCUCCUACUCUCACUGCAUCACGUGGAGUCACGUCCACUGGUCCUGUUCAUGCUGGCAAAGGCGGGCAGAUUGCUCACCGGCCCCCAGCCGCCCACGCCCCUGGAUCCAUCAGGGCGCGUCUCAGAGCCUGCUAAGUGGAUACAAUCCUGCGUUCUUGGCCCAGGACUUCACCCCGAAAGUGAGCUGAUGACUGAGAGUGGGCUUGUAAUCGUUUUAAACACCAACUGUCUGGAAUCCGAGUGGCACUCUCUGGUCUGGAACCGUCGGUCAGUCAGGAGAAGGAAGGACAGCUCAUCUGAGAUGGUGAAUGUGUUACAUGACUUCCCGCAAACAAAAGAAGCCAAAUUGUGCUAGGCCAGAAAACGGCCCCCAAGUAUAUCAUCCUAAUCCCCAGAAACCUGUGAAUGUUACCUUAUUAAAAAAGAAGAAGAAGAAGGAGAAGGAGAAGGACAAGAAAUG